UCGUGGACACCCGACACUGACAUAGAACAUAAAUUUUGGAGGUGCCUAGAUGAUCAUUUUGUAAGUGGAGUGUUCAGUUCUAGAUACCUCAUCUUGGUCUCAACUAACAACUUCUCGUGGACACCUGACACUGACAUAGAACAUAAAUUUUGGAGGUGCCUAGAUGAUCAUUUUGUAAGUUGGAGUGUUCAGUUCUAGAUACCGCAUCUUGGUCUCAACUAACAACUUCUCGUGGACACCCAACGCUGACAUAGAACCUAAAUUUUGGAGGUGCCUAGAUGAUUGUUUCAUAAGUUGGAGUAUUCAAUUCUAGGUGCCUCAUCUUGGUCUCAACUAACAACUAAACACUCCAACUCAUCCUCACUGUGUCUCGUGGACACCCGACGUUGACAUAGAACAUAAAUUUUGGAGGUGCCUAGAUGAUCAUUUUGUAUUUUGUAAGUUGGGAGUAUUCAGUUGAUACAGUGGAGACGAGUUGAGGUGUCUAGAUAUACAUUCUCAAAGUUGGAGUGCUUUCUUUUUAGUAGAGGUCAAGUUUGAGCAUCUGUUUAUGUAUUGCGUCAUUU
rnacentral:lncRNA from 1 species